CAUUUAUGAAGAUUCUCCCUUGUCUUACGUGGACUUUGUUGAAUCUCAGAAGAGCAUGUAAAACACUGUUAAAUGUGGCGUCUUUUAUUCCUUCUCUGGGAACGAAACACAAGACAUGGAGCUGAGGAUCUUGUUCCAGUCGAUCUUGGUGCGGGUGACCGGGAGCUGUCUGCGUAAGGCUUUGAAGGUGGUGUCUGACAUGGUCUGAUAGUUCUCACUGAUGGCCACCUGGGAAGCAAAGAUAAACACGUCAGUUCACGCCUUCCUGCUACAAGCAAGUUGCACCAUGAUGUCAUCUGUUAGUUACAGUCAAGUGGAAAUAUUCAGCAAGAGCUACCGGAGAAUGCCAAGCGAGUCCAAUUUGAUUUUGUAUUGUACAUACUAUGAUUAUUUUGGAGUGUGAAUGUUCAGUGAAAUGAAAUGGCUCAACAAAUACCUGAAAUACUCUGGUGUAGAGAUAAAAAUUGCAAUGGCUGAUUAAUUUUGAAGUUUUGUUGAUUUUCUCUCAAAAACCCAGAAAAGAACGGAAUUGUUCAAUUAAUAUUUAUUCUGAUUCCUCCAGUAUUAUACAGAAUGUGUUUUGUGAAUUUUAUUAGAGGCAUGUAAGUAAUGAUAAAUAAAAAGUAAAUCUGACAAUGAAAAAUAUUCAAACUGGUAUUGUUUGAAAAUGUACGAGUGUUGUUCUGGAUCUGGCUUAUUUGAAUUUGUGAGGUCAUGUAAACUCAUGUGGGCUGGGAAUAGUUGACAAAAUGACACGCUAAUAAAAAUCCAUUCAAUCAUUUAUA